GUAGUUAGCCGGGGCUUCCUCCUUGGGUACCGUCACUUCCUUCGUCCCCAAGGACAGAGGUUUACAACCCGAAGGCCUUCUUCCCUCACGCGGCGUUGCUGGGUCAGGGUUUCCCCCAUUGCCCAAUAUUCCCCACUGCUGCCUCCCGUAGGAGUCUGGACCGUGUCUCAGUUCCAGUGUGGCCGAUCAGCCUCUCAGCUCGGCUACCCAUCGCAGACUUGGUAGGCCGUUACCCUGCCAACUAUCUAAUGGGACGCGAGCCCCUCCUCUUGCGGAUUGCUCCUUUGACCCCUCUCCCAUGUGGAAGUGUGGUCUUAUGCGGUAUUAGCACCUGUUUCCAAGUGUUAUCCCCCUCAAAGGUCAGGUUGCUCACGCGUUACUCACCCGUUCGCUACUAGAGUAAAUACCGAAAUAUCUACCCCCGUUCGACUUGCAUGUGUUAGGCACGCCGCCAGCGUUCGUCCUGAGCAGAUACAACUACUGA
rnacentral:rRNA from 1 species